UCCCUGGUGGUCCAGUGGCUAAGACUCCACAUUCCCAAUGCAGGGGCUGUGGGUUUGAUUCCCGGUCAGGGAA
rnacentral:tRNA from 1 species